rnacentral:rRNA from 1 species
GAUGAACGCUGGCGGCGUGCCUAAUACAUGCAAGUCGAGCGAACAGAUAAGGAGCUUGCUCCUUUGACGUUAGCGGCGGACGGGUGAGUAACACGUGGAUAACCUACCUAUAAGACUGGGAUAACUUCGGGAAACCGGAGCUAAUACCGGAUAACAUAUUGAACCGCAUGGUUCAAUAGUGAAAGGCGGCUUUGCUGUCACUUAUAGAUGGAUCCGCGCCGUAUUAGCUAGUUGGUCAGGUAACGGCUUACCAAGGCAACGAUACGUAGCCGACCUGAGAGGGUGAUCGGCCACACUGGAACUGAGACACGGUCCAGACUCCUACGGGAGGCAGCAGUAGGGAAUCUUCCGCAAUGGGCGAAAGCCUGACGGAGCAACGCCGCGUGAGUGAUGAAGGUCUUCGGAUCGUAAAACUCUGUUAUCAGGGAAGAACAAAUGUGUAAGUAACUGUGCACAUCUUGACGGUACCUGAUCAGAAAGCUACGGCUAACUACGUGCCAGCAGCCGCGGUAAUACGUAGGUGGCAAGCGUUAUCCGGAAUUAUUGGGCGUAAAGCGCGCGUAGGCGGUUUUUUAAGUCUGAUGUGAAAGCCCACGGCUCAACCCGUGGAGGGUCAUUGGAAACUGGAAAACUUGAGUGCAGAAGAGGAAAGUGGAAUUCCAUGUGUAGCGGUGAAAUGCGCAGAGAUAUGGAGGAACACCAGUGGCGAAGGCGACUUUCUGGUCUGUAACUGACGCUGAUGUGCGAAAGCGUGGGGAUCAAACAGGAUUAGAUACCCUGGUAGUCCACGCCGUAAACGAUGAGUGCUAAGUGUUAGGGGGUUUCCGCCCCUUAGUGCUGCAGCUAACGCAUUAAGCACUCCGCCUGGGGAGUACGACCGCAAGGUUGAAACUCAAAGGAAUUGACGGGGACCCGCACAAGCGGUGGAGCAUGUGGUUUAAUUCGAAGCAACGCGAAGAACCUUACCAAAUCUUGACAUCCUUUGACCACUCUAGAGAUAGAGUUUUCCCCUUCGGGGGACAAAGUGACAGGUGGUGCAUGGUUGUCGUCAGCUCGUGUCGUGAGAUGUUGGGUUAAGUCCCGCAACGAGCGCAACCCUUAAGCUUAGUUGCCAUCAUUAAGUUGGGCACUCUAAGUUGACUGCCGGUGACAAACCGGAGGAAGGUGGGGAUGACGUCAAAUCAUCAUGCCCCUUAUGAUUUGGGCUACACACGUGCUACAAUGGACAAUACAAAAGGCAGCUAAACCGCGAGGUCAAGCAAAUCCCAUAAAGUUGUUCUCAGUUCGGAUUGUAGUCUGCAACUCGACUACAUGAAGCUGGAAUCGCUAGUAAUCGUAGAUCAGCAUGCUACGGUGAAUACGUUCCCGGGUCU